CAGGCUGGACAGCCGCGGAUGGGAACCGAAAGGACCCAGAUGAGGAAAGUCCGGGCUCCACAGGGCAGGGAUAACGGGUAACGCCCGCCGAGGGCAACCUCAGGACAAGUGCAACAGAGAGAUACCGCCCCGCAAGGGGUAAGGGUGAAAAGGUGCGGUAAGAGCGCACCCGGCCCAUGGCAACAUGGGUUUUACGAUGUAAACUCUAUCCCGGAGCAACGCCGUGGAGGGACAACAGGUCGGCCCGACCGUCCCAAGGAGGCGGCUUGACCCUGCGGGCAACCGCAGGGCUAGAUAGAUGGCUGUCAAAACAGAACCCGGCUUAUAGGCCCGC
rnacentral:RNase_P_RNA from 1 species